GAUGAACGCUGGCGGCGUGCUUAACACAUGCAAGUCGAACGGAAAGGCUCCUGCUUGCAGGGGUACUCGAGUGGCGAACGGGUGAGUAACACGUGGGUGAUCUGCCCUGCACUUCGGGAUAAGCCUGGGAAACUGGGUCUAAUACCGGAUAGGACGAUGGUUUGGAUGCCAUUGUGGAAAGUUUUUCGGUGUGGGAUGAGCUCGCGGCCUAUCAGCUUGUUGGUGGGGUAAUGGCCUACCAAGGCGUCGACGGGUAGCCGGCCUGAGAGGGUGUACGGCCACAUUGGGACUGAGGUACGGCCCAGACUCCUACGGGGGGCAGCAGUGGGGAAUAUUGCACAAUGGGCGCAAGCCUGAUGCAGCGACGCCGCGUGGGGGAUGACGGCCUUCGGGUUGUAAACUCCUUUCGCUAGGGACGAAGCGCAAGUGACGGUACCUGGAGAAGAAGCACCGGCUAACUACGUG
rnacentral:rRNA from 1 species